rnacentral:rRNA from 1 species
CCUACGGGCGGCAACAGUGGGGAAUAUUGGACAAUGGGCGAAAGCCUGAUCCAGCCAUGCCGCGUGUGUGAAGAAGGCCUUCGGGUUGUAAAGCACUUUCAGUGGGGAAGAAAGCCUUGGGGCUAAUACCCUCGAGGAAGGACAUCACCCACAGAAGAAGCACCGGCUAACUCCGUGCCAGCAGCCGCGGUAAUACGGAGGGUGCGAGCGUUAAUCGGAAUUACUGGGCGUAAAGCGCGCGUAGGCGGUCUGAUAAGCCGGUUGUGAAAGCCCCGGGCUCAACCUGGGAACGGCAUCCGGAACUGUCAGGCUAGAGUGCAGGAGAGGAAGGUAGAAUUCCCGGUGUAGCGGUGAAAUGCGUAGAGAUCGGGAGGAAUACCAGUGGCGAAGGCGGCCUUCUGGACUGACACUGACGCUGAGGUGCGAAAGCGUGGGUAGCAAACAGGAUUAGAUACCCUGGUAGUC